GCGCUUUCCACCCGCCAGGCAGCCGCGACCGCGCCUCCCUCUGCCCAGCCCUCCAGCAGCCCCUAAAUAUUCCCUGGGUGCCCAGGGGGCGGAAACGGACUUUGCAGCGCGCCGUCAGGCCCUGGCCCACCUUCCCGCGCAAAUCGUGCGAGGAGAUGCCUGGACCCGGGUCAGCGCCUCUCGGUCCCGCCGGCCCCGCGCAGCCUAAGGAGCGCAUGCGCGCUCGGGGACGCUGCCCUUGCGCGGGGUGCCUGGGCUGCGGGAGGCAAACGCAGCGGGAAAUCUGCCGGAGGACACUGCCCUCGACACAAGGGUCAGGGAAGGCUUCCUAGGGAUAUUUAAGCAGCGUUCUGGGAGAGGACAGCACAUGUGGACAGAUGGAACCGACGAUGCAAAGGCCAAGAGGGCGACCAUUGGGGGAAGUUGCCAGCAUGAUGUGCCACUCAAGUACUGAGUUCAAGACUUAGCGUGUGUGCAUCGGCCUUAAGGGGAGCCCUGCCUGAUAGUUGAGACAACACUAGAAUCCUAGCAGGCCUGCUCUGUGACCCAGGACAGUCAUUCAUUCCCUCUGAGCCUCACCUCCGGCAUCCUCGCAAUGGCGAGAACAUUCCUUCGCUUGAAGGCUUCUGUAUGCCAGGCACGUGGCGCAUGCGCAGUGAGGGAGCUUUGUCCCACUAGCAUUGCUCAGCCCGGAAACUGAACAGAGGCCUCUAGAAUGUCUCCUGAAACUUGUUCUCUUGGGCUGUGGAUGGAAGUGAGAGAGUGGGGUAGCAGAAGGAUUUUAAGGCUGGGGUUGGGAAGCAUGAGGCCCUGCUCUGGACUUUCCCUGUGACUUCAGGCAAGUCAGGGCCCCUUUGCCCACCUUGGAGGACAGGUGGUGGGCAGGAUGGCUCCUGCGGUCCCCAGGCUGCCUCCAUCAUCCAGUUUCCAGUGGAGUUCCACAGCUCCCCGAAAGCACUGCUCAUUCCCAGGCUCCCGUGACCCCCUCCCUCCAGCUGAUGAAAAUUCAGCGAGCCACCCAUGGUCAUGCAGCAGGCUAUUGGCAGGGCGUUUGGGCUGCCAGGAGGAGCAGGAACACAGUGCUUCUGUGGUCACCAUAGGUGACCUGAGUCAUUGCGGUCAGCUGGAUCUGAACUUGAAAGAUAACCUAAGAAUGAAGCCAUUAUGGAAACCAGGAGAAUCUAGAGACAGGGCCAACAGGUCCUGGGGACAGAAUCGGAGCCCUUGAAUAAACCAUGCUUGAAAUUCUCAUCCUUUGGAUUUUUUUAGUUACAUGAGUUGAUACCUUUUUUUUUUUUUUUAUCUUUAAGCCUGUUUUAGGGCAAUGGAACUGUUACAUGGCAAUGGAACUGUGAUUAUAAAUAAUAUCCUUAUGCCAUGGGAAGCGGCCCUAGAAAAGGCAAAAAGACAAAAAAAUAAAAAUAUAAAUAUAAAAUAUAAAUAAUAUCCU
rnacentral:lncRNA from 1 species